GGGGGCGACCUGGCUUCGACGUGGGUUGCAAAACCAGAGGUGCAUGCCGAGAAUGAGAACUCUCGUAAAUCAGGCUCAAAUAAAUAUAAAUGCAAACGAUGAAAACUUCGUAGAAGCUAACUUUGAUGACGCUAUUGCAGCCUAAUCAACCUUAGUGGAAGCAAUGUGUACUGGCCUAAACCCCAGUGCCCCGUUGACCGAGCUCGCUUAUCGGUAUCGAAUCAACGGUCAUAGAAGAUAAGCUAGUGUCCUAAUCCAUCCCGGGUUAAGAUGCGAAACUCAGGGAAUCGCUGUGUCCUAUCCUGCCCGUCGGAGAGUCCACAGUUAAAUCAAAUGACAAGGCUACGCAUGUAGAACUGAAGGCAGAGGAUUUGCGGACGCGGGUUCGAUUCCCGCCGCCUCCACCA
rnacentral:tmRNA from 1 species